rnacentral:misc_RNA from 1 species
GAUGAAGAACGCAGCGAAAUGCGAUACGUAAUGUGAAUUGCAGAAUUCAGUGAAUCAUCGAAUCUUUGACCGCAUAUUGCGCUCUCUGGUAUUCCGGAGAGCAUGCUUGUUUGAGUAUCAGUAAACACCUCAACUCCCCUUUCUUUUUUUGAAAUGGGAGCUGGACUUGAGUGAUGCCAACGCUUUUCUCACCGAAAAGUGGCGGGUUACUUGAAAUGCAGGUGCAGCUGGACUUUUCUCUGAGCUAAAAGCAUAUCUAUUUAGUCUGCCUAAAAAACAGAUGAUUACCUUUGCUGCAGCUAACAUAAAGGAGAUUAGUUCUUGUGCUGACUGAUGCAGGAUUCACAGAGACAGCUUCGGCUGGCCUUUGUAAACUCGAUCUCAAAUCAAGUAAGACUACCCGCUGAACUUAAGCAUAUCAAUAAGCGGAGGA